AUGCACGCUGGCGGCGUGCCUAAUACAUGCCAGUCGAGCGAACGGACGAGAAGCUUGCUUCUCUGAUGUUAGCGGCGGACGGGUGAGUAACACGUGGAUAACCUACCUAUAAGACUGGGAUAACUUCGGGAAACCGGAGCUAAUACCGGAUAAUAUUUUGAACCGCAUGGUUCAAAAGUGAAAGACGGUCUUGCUGUCACUUAUAGAUGGAUCCGCGCUGCAUUAGCUAGUUGGUAAGGUAACGGCUUACCAAGGCAACGAUGCAUAGCCGACCUGAGAGGGUGAUCGGCCACACUGGAACUGAGACACGGUCCAGACUCCUACGGGAGGCAGCAGUAGGGAAUCUUCCGCAAAGGGCGAAAGCCUGACGGAGCAACGCCGCGUGAGUGAUGAAGGUCUUCGGAUCGUAAAACUCUGUUAUUAGGGAAGAACAUAUGUGUAAGUAACUGUGCACAUCUUGACGGUACCUAAUCAGAAAGCCACGGCUAACUACGUG
rnacentral:rRNA from 1 species